UACAGAGGGGGCAAGCGUUGUUCGGAAUUACUGGGCGUAAAGGGCGCGUAGGCGGCCUUCUAAGUCGAACGUGAAAUCCCCGGGCUCAACCCGGGAACUGCGUCCGAUACUGGAAGGCUUGAAUCCGGGAGAGGGAUGCGGAAUUCCAGGUGUAGCGGUGAAAUUCGUAGAUAUUCGGAGGAACACCAGUGGCGAAGGCGGCUCACUGGUCCAUUACUGACGCUGAGGCACGAAAGCGUGGGGAGCAAACAGG
rnacentral:rRNA from 1 species